ACUUAACCAACUAAACUAUAGUGGCGUUUAUACUAAAAAUGCUGCAAAAAAUUAAGCUAUACAAAGAGCCAUUAUUUUACCCAGAAAAGGGGAAAUCAAAAUACCGCUCACUCUUACCCUCUCGUUACUCCCUCUUUUUCUCAUCUAUGUAUUUAGAAUCAGUUAAAUGUCUGAACUACGGCCUUCGAUUCGUGAAGGGAAAAGCCCUAGCCAGCUCUGAAGUUAAAUGGAAGCCUUAGCUGCUGAACAUUUAGAGAGAAUCUGUAUUGUUUCGUCCUGUAUUUAGCUAAAAGGGAUAGUAUUCUUAGCAGUUCGGGUUUUGAAGUAUUCAUAGCGUUUUAGCUUUGCAAUUUCUGAAAAUGGUUGGAAAUACAUUAGUCUAGAUUCUAGCAUGCCCGUCUUUGUCAUCUUCAACUUUGACCACCCUCCCGCAUUCUUCUCCAAAAGUUUUGCCAUGUCUUCCGCCUAAACUAAGAAUGAGGUUGGCAAAAGUUAGAGCUAUGUCUGCUAGUACUGAGCAUAACCCACAA